rnacentral:rRNA from 1 species
GACGAACGUUGGCGGCGUGCUUAAUACAUGCAAGUCAACUGAAGCAGUGGUAGCAAUAUCGCUGUGGAGGUGGCGCACGGGUGAGUAACACGUAGGUAAUCUGCCUUCAGGUCUGGCAUAACUCCGGGAAACCGGGGCUAAUAGCAGAUGAUGCAGCGGCUCGGCAUCGAGACAGUUGUUAAAGCUAUGGCGCCUGAAGAUGAGCCUGCGUCUGAUUAGCUAGUUGGCGGGGUAACGGCCCACCAAGGCAACGAUCAGUAGCUGGUCUGAGAGGAUGAUCAGCCACACUGGAACUGAGACACGGUCCAGACUCCUACGGGAGGCAGCAGUAAGGAAUAUUGCUCAAUGGGAGAAAUCCUGAAGCAGCAACGCCGCGUGAGGGACGAAGGGCUUUUGCUUGUAAACCUCUGUAGUGAGAGAAAAAAAUCCCAAUCUUUGGGACAUGAUGGUAGCUCAAAAGUAAGCCCCGGCUAACUACGUG